rnacentral:rRNA from 1 species
UCAAGAGUACGUGAAACCGUUCAGGGGUAAACCUGAGAAACCCAAAAGAUCGAAUGGGGAGAUUCAGCGUCAGCGGCGUUGGCUUGCGUGUGGCUCGCGAUGCGAGGGACCUGGUUCCGAGCACGCGGCGCGCGUCAUGCCCGGCGUCGUCGGCGUGCACUUCUCCCCUAGUAGGACGUCGCGACCCGUUGGGUGUCGUCUACGGCCCGAUUGGUAGCCUGUUGCGCCGCGUUCGCGCGCGCGCGGCAGACCGUCGUCGCCCGGCCGACUGCCCGGCGGUAGAGAUCGCAUAUGGUAUUGAGCCGCACAAAGUGCGUUUAGGCUCGUCGGCAGGCAAGUCUCGCUCGGAUACGGACCUGGUGCCGUUGCCUUGCGCUUGACGUGCCUUAGUCGGCGAUGUCCUCGGACGGGCUCGUUCUUCGAACGGAUAUACCGGUCGGCGACGCUACUGCUUUGGGUACUUUCAGGACCCGUCUUGAAACACGGACCAAGGAGUCUAACAUGUGCGCGAGUCAUUGGGACUUGAAGCCUAAAGGCGCAAUGAAAGUGAAGGUGCGCUAUGCUACCGAGGGAGGA